rnacentral:rRNA from 1 species
GAAGAANCGAGAAUAUUAUUAUUAGACGAGAAGACCCCAUGGAGCUUUAAACUUAUUACCAAUUACUUAACCGCUAAACCAUAAUAUGUAGUAAAAAUGUUCUUAAUAGUUUUCGGCUGGGGUGGCCCUGGAGUAAAAUAAACCCUCCAGAAUGAACGGAAUAAGACCCUAAUCUAAGAAUUACAGCUCAAAGAAUCAAAAAACUGACAUUAUUGAUCCAAUUAAUUGAUUAACGAAACAAGUUACCCUGGGGAUAACAGCGCAAUCCAUUUUGAGAGCCCCUAUCAACAAAUGGGUUUACGACCUCGAUGUUGGAUCGGGGUAUCCCGGUGGCGCAGCCGCUACUAAUGGUUCGUUUGUUCAACGAUUAACAACCCCACGUGAUCUGAGUUCAAACA